rnacentral:rRNA from 1 species
UGGGGGAUAUUGCACAAUGGGCGAAAGCCUGAUGCAGCGACGCCGCGUGGGGGAUGAAGGCCUUCGGGUUGUAAACUUCUUUUGCUCUGAACAAGGCAUGCCUUUGGGGUGUGUUGAGUGUAGGGGUUGAUUAGCGCCGGCUAACUACGUGCCAGCAGCCGCGGUAAUACGUAGGGCGCGAGCGUUGUCCGGAAUUAUUGGGCGUAAAGGGCUUGUAGGUGGCUGGUUGCGUCUGUCGUGAAAGCUCAUGGCUUAACUGUGGGUUUGCGGUGGGUACGGGCUGGCUUGAGUGCAGUAGGGGAGGCUGGAAUUCCUGGUGUAGCGGUGGAAUGCGCAGAUAUCAGGAGGAGUACCGGUGGCGAAGGCGGGUCUCUGGGCUGUUACUGACGCUGAGGAGCGAAAGCGUGGGGAGCGAACAGG